GACGAACGCUGGCGGCGUGCUUAACACAUGCAAGUCGAACGGAAAGGCCCUGCUUGCAGGGUACUCGAGUGGCGAACGGGUGAGUAACACGUGGGUGAUCUGCCCUGCACUUCGGGAUAAGCCUGGGAAACUGGGUCUAAUACCGGAUAGGAGCCAUUUUUAGUGUGAUGGUUGGAAAGUUUUUUCGGUGUAGGAUGAGCUCGCGGCCUAUCAGCUUGUUGGUGGGGUAAUGGCCUACCAAGGCGGCGACGGGUAGCCGGCCUGAGAGGGUGGACGGCCACAUUGGGACUGAGAUACGGCCCAGACUCCGACGGGAGGCAGAAGUGGGGAAUAUUGCACAAUGGGCGCAAGCCUGAUGCAGAGACGCCGCGGGGGGGAUGACGGCCUUCGGGUUGUAAACUCCUUUCGCUAGGGACGAAGCUUUUUGUGACGGUACCUAGAUAAGAAGCACCGGCUAACUACGUG
rnacentral:rRNA from 1 species